GAUGAACGCUGGCGGUGUGCCUAAUACAUGCAAGUCGAGCGAACGGACGAGAAGCUUGCUUCUCUGAUGUUAGCGGCGGACGGGUGAGUAACACGUGGAUAACCUACCUAUAAGACUGGGAUAACUUCGGGAAAACGGAGCUAAUACCGGAUGAUAUUUUGAACCGCAUGGUUCAAAAGUGAAAGACGGUCUUGCUGUCACUUAUAGAUGGAUCCGCGCUGCAUUAGCUAGUUGGUAAGGUAACGGCUUACCAAGGCAACGAUGCAUAGCCGACCUGAGAGGGUGAUCAGCCACACUGGAACUGAGACACGGUCCAGACUCCUACGGGAGGCAGCAGUAGGGAAUCUUCGGCAAUGGGCGAAAGCCUGACGGAGCAACACCGCGUGAGUGAAGAAGGUCUUCGGAUCGUAAAACUCUUUUAUUGGGGAAGAACAGAUGUAGAAGUAACUGUGCACAUCUUGACGGUACCUAAUGAGAAAGCCACGGCUAACUACGUG
rnacentral:rRNA from 1 species